UUUUUGGUCUUUAAAUUAUUUUUUAGAAUAAGUUAAAUAAUCUCGUAGGAAAAAUAUGUUAUCCUACCAAAUUAUAAAUAUCAAAAUCAGUUGUGCACUGUUUGGAUGCAUAAAUAUCUUGCUCGGCAUAUCUCUAUGAUUUACUUUGAAUUAAUAGCUUGUACAUUUGAUCAAAAUUUAGAAUUGGAUAUUAUAUUUAGUUUUCAAGUUAUUUUUUUAAUAAAAUAAAUCACCUCGUAGAUGAUAUAUUCUAUCAUACCAAAUUAUAGAUAUCAAGACCUUUCGAGUAAAAAUCAAACCCCUUUCCUACAAUCACACUAAAAACUUUUUGAACUGAAUAAAUUAUUGAGUGAUAACUUUUCCGACUUUCAAACAGUGCCUUACGGAGCAAAAAUAAAACUCCUAUCUUUCAACUACACAAUGAAAAUUUCAUAACGAAAAAUACUCUUUGUAUUUGACCCUUCUUAAUUACCUCUCCAAAAAAAUUAUAGUA
rnacentral:lncRNA from 1 species